UUCUAGUUCCUGAUUCUGAUUCCCGCCUGGUUGCUGUUCUCGGUUUCCCUGGAGGGAUUGCACUGCUUGGAUUAUUCUCUGCCUGAGCUGAGACUCUGCACUGCCGGACUCCGAUCAUGCUUUCAGACUUCAACUCCCUGUGGUUGCUCUCUCCCAGCCCAUUGCUGUCCAUGCUCUCAAUGGUCUAUCUCUUCCUUCCAUCACUCACACUACAGGAUGAGCAUAUGGACCUGUCAAACAUGCCCA